UAUUUGCCUGUGUCUCGUUACUGUAGAAACGUUCUGUUUUAUAAUUAUUUAAUUCGUUAUAGAUUCUGAGUGAAGCACAUUUACUAAGAUUUUGGUUUUUAUUUAUAUUUAUUUGUGUCUGUAAACAACUUUUCGACCAUAAAUAUUGUUGUUAUCAAAAACUUUAUAAGUACCUUCUUGUAGUAAUUUUAAUCUAGUUGUUACAGUAGGGUGGUCAUUUGUAUAUUUUUUCUGUAAUUUU